rnacentral:rRNA from 1 species
GACGAACGCUGGCGGCGUGCUUAACACAUGCAAGUCGAGCGGAGCGGCGAACGGGUGAGUAACGCGGGAGUAAUUGCCCCCCUCUCUGGGAUAACAGUUGGAAACGGCAGCAAAUACCGGAUAGUGGGGGAUGAAUCGCGUCCUAUCAGCUUGUUGAUGGGGUAGUGGCCUACCAAGGCGACGACGGGUAGCCGGCCUGAGAGGGCGACCGGCCAAAUUGGGCUGAGAGACUGGCCAAACUAGUACGGGAGGCAGCUGUGGGGAAUAUAGCACAAUGGGGGAAACCCUAAUGCAGCAACGCCGCGUGCGGGAUGACGGCCUUCGGGUUGUAAACCGCUUUCAGCCAUGACUCGGUAGUGGCAGAAGAAGCACCGGCUAACUACGUGCCAGCAGCCGCGGUAAUUC